rfam:Agrilus planipennis Contig17699, whole genome shotgun sequence.
AGGUAGAGGGGUUUUAGUCGGUAGGUCCGAGGACUUCUUCCUCGGGAAUCCGACACUAGUCAGUCGUUCGGAUGACUGGGUGUCUUCUGAAGAUUUCCCCUCUUCC